CUCUAGCCCCGAUUACAAUGGAAAUCCUUUACUGCGGCGCGCUAGCAGAGCAGGAAAGAUUGAAAUGAAAAGCGGGAAACAGC
rnacentral:sRNA from 1 species